rnacentral:rRNA from 1 species
UACAGAGGGUGCAAGCGUUGUUCGGAAUUACUGGGCGUAAAGCGCGUGUAGGCUGCCCCGCAAGUCGGAUGUGAAAGCCCUGGGCUCAACCUAGGAAGUGCAUUCGAAACUGCGGGGCUGGAGUCCUGGAGAGGAAGGCGGAAUUCUCGGUGUAGAGGUGAAAUUCGUAGAUAUCGAGAGGAACACCGGUGGCGAAGGCGGCCUUCUGGACAGUGACUGACGCUGAGACGCGAAAGCGUGGGGAGCAAACAGG